rnacentral:pre_miRNA from 2 species
UAAAUACUUCAUCUGUCCGAAAAUACUUGUCGUAGUAAUGGGUGCAUGUGGAUGUUUUUUAGUUCUAGAUAUAUCCAUUUAUAUCCAUUUUUGUGACAAGUAAUUCCGGACGGAGGGAGUAUAAG